rnacentral:rRNA from 1 species
GGUCUGGACGUGAGGGGAGCCGGGGUAAGACGGGGGGGGGAGCGGUGUCAGGGGAUUCUGGGGCGGAGAGGGCGAGCAGGUGGGCCGGGAGGUGUGCGGUGAAAGUGCGGGGCGCAGCCCGGGGCCGGCAGUGGAUACGGGCGGACUGAAGGGCGGUAGGGGAGACUGGAAUUCCUGGGGUAGCGGUGAAAUGCGCAGAUAUCAGGAGGAACACCGGUGGCGAAGGCGGGUCUCUGGACCGAUACUGACACUGAGGAGCGAAAGCGUGGGGAGCAAACAGGAUUAGAUACCCCUGUAGUC